AGUGAACGCUGGCGGUAGGCCUAACACAUGCAAGUCGAACGGCAGCACAGGAGAGUUUGCUCUCUGGGUGGCGAGUGGCGGACGGGUGAGGAAUACAUCGGAAUCUACUCUGUCGUGGGGGAUAACGUAGGGAAACUUACGCUAAUACCGCAUACGACCUACGGGUGAAAGCAGGGGAUCUUCGGACCUUGCGCGAUUGAAUGAGCCGAUGUCGGAUUAGCUAGUUGGCGGGGUAAAGGCCCACCAAGGCGACGAUCCGUAGCUGGUCUGAGAGGAUGAUCGGCCACAAUGGAACUGAGACACGGUCCAGACUCCUACGGGAGGCAGCAGUGGGGAAUAUUGGACAAUGGGCGCAAGCCUGAUCCAGCCAUACCGCGUGGGUGAAGAAGGCCUUCGGGUUGUAAAGCCCUUUUGUUGGGAAAGAAAUCCAGCUGGCUAAUACCCGGUUGGGAUGACGGUACCCAAAGAAUAAGCACCGGCUAACUUCGUGCCAGCAGCCGCCGUAA
rnacentral:rRNA from 1 species